rnacentral:rRNA from 1 species
AAAUUGAAGAGUUUGAUCAUGGCUCAGAUUGAACGCUGGCGGCAGGCCUAACACAUGCAAGUCGAACGGUAACAGGAAGCAGCUUGCUGCUUYGCUGACGAGUGGCGGACGGGUGAGUAAUGUCUGGGAAACUGCCUGAUGGAGGGGGAUAACUACUGGAAACGGUGGCUAAUACCGCAUAACGUCGCAAGACCAAAGAGGGGGACCUUCGGGCCUCUUGCCAUCAGAUGUGCCCAGAUGGGAUUAGCUUGUUGGUGAGGUAACGGCUCACCAAGGCGACGAUCCCUAGCUGGUCUGAGAG